UGGGGAAUCUUGCCCAAUGGGCGAAAGCCUGAGGCAGCAACGCCGCGUGGGGGAUGAAUGCCUUCGGGUUGUAAACCCCUUUCAGCAGGGACGAAAAUGACGGUACCUGCAGAAGAAGCCCCGGCCAACUACGUGCCAGCAGCCGCGGUAAUACGUAGGGGGCAAGCGUUGUCCGGAUUUAUUGGGCGUAAAGGGCGCGUAGGCGGUUACGUAAGUCGGAUGUGAAAACUCCAGGCUCAACCUGGAGACGCCACCCGAUACUACGUUGACUAGAGUUCGGUAGGGGAUCACGGAAUAUCUGGUGUAGCGGUGAAAUGCGCAGAUAUCAGAUGGAACACCGGUGGCGAAGGCGGUGAUCUGGGCCGAGACUGACGCUGAUGCGCGAAAGCGUGGGGAGCGAACAGG
rnacentral:rRNA from 1 species